rnacentral:rRNA from 1 species
GAGUUUGAUCCUGGCUCAGGAUGAAUGCUGGCGGCGUGUCUAAGGCAUGCAAGUCGAAUGUCUAGUUUACUAGGCAUGGCAAACGGGAGAGUAACACAUUGAUAACCUACCCUGAAGACGGGGAUAACCUUGCGAAAGCGAGAAUAAUACCCGAUAGUAUAAAAUGACAUGAGUUAUUUUAUUAAAGCUACGACGCUUCAGGAGGGGUCUAUGGCCUAUCAGCUUGUUGGUGAGGUAAUGGCUCACCAAGGCUACGACGGGUAUCGGGCGCGAGAGCGU